CUUGGACUCCGAUGUGUGCCUCCUUUUUAAUUUUUUGCAACGACAGUUUUGUACGAAGUUGUUUGAUUUGAUUGCGGUAAAUAAAGCUGUAGAAUUAAAAUCAGAAUUUUCUUCCGGCGCUGCAAAUAUGAUCUUUCUAAAGUAUUACAAUCGUUUGCCUCCUGCCUCUGAUUGAAAGACUAUGAUCAUAACUGACAGUGAGUCAAGUCAAAGAGAGAUACGGUCAUCAGCUGCAGCAUCAAUCCAGUUUGAAAAAAUCUCGCGACGAUAUAGAGUGUUUGGUUGCUUCGAGCAAGAAUCCUGUUCGACUUUUGACGAUAAUUCCGCCUCAGAAAUUGCACACUUAUACUCCAAAUCCAAGAUCUAGUACUUCAACUGCGGAAAGAAUUGCUGCAGAAAAACGUGAUCGAGAAUUAGCUGAGGACACUGGAAAAGAAAU
rnacentral:misc_RNA from 1 species